rnacentral:misc_RNA from 1 species
AAGUCGUAACAAGGUUUCCGUAGGUGAACCUGCGGAAGGAUCAUUAACACGUAUCCAAACGUUAAAACCCCCCCCGUGAACCUUCAUCCUGCUCUUGUAACCCGCGUAGUUCGCAAUCUCUGAUAAAUCAUAGCCCGGAAAGUUGUAGUGAUUCAGAGACCUCUGGCUACGUGCGAACAUUGGAACAGUUACAAUCGAGCGGUAGUUCUAUAGGCAAUGUUUCCCCAAGCAGUCAGUGUCAGAAAGUGUCAUUGAUUGUGCAAGGAUAGCGCUUCUACGAUUCCUGUAGACCGUACACUCGGGCAGGAGCUUUGCCAAAGGGCAUUGGGUAAAAAAACCGAACAACUGUUAACAAUGGAUAC